AUUGAACGCCGGCGGCAGGCCUAACACAUGCAAGUCGAGCGGAUGAAGGGAGCUUGCUCCUGGAUUCAGCGGCGGACGGGUGAGUAAUGCCUAGGAAUCUGCCUGGUAGUGGGGGAUAACGUCCGGAAACGGGCGCUAAUACCGCAUACGUCCUGAGGGAGAAAGUGGGGGAUCUUCGGACCUCACGCUAUCAGAUGAGCCUAGGUCGGAUUAGCUAGUUGGCGGGGUAAAGGCCUACCAAGGCGACGAUCCGUAACUGGUCUGAGAGGAUGAUCAGUCACACUGGAACUGAGACACGGUCCAGACUCCUACGGGAGGCAGCAGUGGGGAAUAUUGGACAAUGGGCGAAAGCCUGAUCCAGCCAUGCCGCGUGUGUGAAGAAGGUCUUCGGAUUGUAAAGCACUUUAAGUUGGGAGGAAGGGCAGUAAGUUAAUACCUUGCUGUUUUGACGUUACCAACAGAAUAAGCACCGGCUAACUUCGUG
rnacentral:rRNA from 1 species